rnacentral:lncRNA from 1 species
CAGCCCCAAUCUAAAAGCCAAACUAAAAAUCCCAGCUGCAACCUUAAAUGAAACUUCAAUAAAAUAAAAAAAGUGGAUUAUCCAAAUUUGAAAACAACACAAGCUUUUCGGUUCAAGCAUUCCAAAUAAAAAAAAAAAAAACGUAAACCUCCAGAUUAUAGAAGUCUGCUGCAGCACUUUAAAAUUACCGAGAGGGAGCCCUCCAUUCCACUUGCUACUGUUCUUGGUUCCCUGUUUCAUCUUGCACGAAAAUCUUCAAGUGUCCAAUUAUUCACGUGCCCAACUUGUUCUUCUACUAUCAAUUCCUCUUGUCUCUAUCACGGAGCUGUUUGGUUCCAAUCCUGCAAAAACAGGUGAAUAAAACUGUUGUGACUUACACCCUUUAACCAAAUCAAUUUGCACAAUGAACAUACACAACAGUAAGGACUUCCCUUUCACUCGGU